AGGACUGGGCAGCGCAGGUCUGUAACAGGGAAAGGAGAAUGCUUUCCGCUGGGCUGCAGAGCCUGGGGCUUAGCCAAACUGAUUAGAGAAUGAGUCCUACCUCAGAGGGACCAUGUAUUGGCCUCGAAAGAACCAGACUUCAGUGGCGAUAAAGCCUAGCUGGGCUAUGAACUGGAAUGAAAACUAGGUAGGAAGUUGAAAGCAGCAAGGAAAGCCUAGAAGAGAACUUGAGAAGAGAGGUCGGAUGUGCCCAGAGAAACCUGCAGCAAAGAGAAAAGAGCAGGCCUAGCUGUUGAGUACAGAGCCCUGGGCUGCUUCUAGUGUCAGGAUGGGACCGGGUUCCUUUACUGGCCCCAAAGAAGGGAACAUACACGCACCCCGAGAGGGUUACCAAGCCCAGCAAAGGAGCUGCAAGCUGAGGCAGAGCUCCAGCGAGAGCAGAAGAACUUUUUUCUCUGCAAAGACCUCUUUGGACUUUCAGUGUGUGAUAAGCUGAGCCCCAGAAGCGUUGACUAAAGGUGAUGAGCCAGCCAGAGGGCCGAAUUACCAGGCAGAGAGAUUGCUAUGGUGCUGGAGUGACCAUCGAUGGAGGACCAGAGGGCACCUAACAAUGAGUAGAUUCAUUGAUUAUUGGCAUAGUCAGCAGGAUUGAAUUCCCCCUGUCAUCCGUGAGGGCUCAUGGAAGUCUUGGUUACUGAAGGAAGGUCCGUCCCCACAAGUAGGAUUUCUCAUUUGAGUUCCAGGGACUGGUUAAGCAGCCAAAGCAGGGCUCGGGUUUGUCCAGCAGCUCCUAGAAACCCAACAGAAGCAGAAGGAAUUGCAGGCAGAGUUACAGAUGCAGCUGGUAAUCUUGAGGGAGCAGCAGCAAUACCUGUCAGAGAUCCUGCAAAGAGAAAUCAACCUCCUUCGCCCAUGGACAAAAAGAGCUGACUCAGAGAGCAUGCUGGGGCUGUGCUGAGAAGGUUAGCCCCUUGAGAGCAGGACAUGAGAAAGUGUACAAGCAUAGCCUAAUGCCAAGAUGGGAAGAAAAGUUCUUUGGUUUGGGUGCAGAGAAGCAGGCCAUAUGGAAAGACCCAGCCUGCAUAGGAAAUUCCUGAGUGGCAAACGGAGGGGCCAGGGCCCCAGGAAGGUAGAAAGAAUGGAGGAGGUGUCCUCUUGGACAAAGACACAUGAGGCAGGCUAGGUGGAGAUGGCAGGGAUGGCCAUGGACCUUGCAGACCCUCCUCCAACACACUCUGUCGUGUGCUGCAGGGAGGUGACGGAUGAAAAGGUUGGCACAGAGAUGAAUCAGGCAGGAGAGUUGAGCAGUGGUGUGUGCUCAGACCCUGAUGGAAAAGGUUUUGGGGGAUGCAGAAGCAGUAGAAAAAAGGCUACAGAAGAAGCUAGUGGCUUCAGAACAAGGCUCUGCAAGCAGUGUUAAUGAGAGUGAGUGGCUGCAGGAGGAGAAGGAUGGCCUCUGAGUUCUGGAGCGUGACCCAGGAAAGAGUGGACCAAAGGACAGUCUGGUGGUUGGAGAUUGAGUUCCCAGCCAACAAACUGUAAGAAUGACUAUCAACGGGGUUGCUAGCCCAGCUAGAAAGCUGUGAGACGAGGCCUGGCCAGGAUCUAGCGGAGAUGUCUGGUGAACUGCCCGUGGACUCUGUGCCCAGCACCACUCCGAAAUUAUUUGCUACCUUCAAAGAAACAGGGCACAGCUCAGCCUGUAGGUAGGCUGGAGACUCACACUUCACUCACACACACAACACUGAGGUGCUUUGGGAAGCAUAGUAACAAAGAAGAGAUUUAAGUGAUGCUAAGCAAGAGACAGAGACAAAUUUCAAACAGACAAACAAAACCAAACACACUUUGUAGUGACUAAAACUGAAUCUUAAGAGUCACAAUCUUGGCCUUAGCAGUUUCCAGACUAACAUCUCAGCUUUCCUAACAGACCUUAUUUGAUGUCCCUGUAUGGUACAAAAAUUCUCUGUCGAAUCCUCCGAUUUGAUUGCUUUGCCUUUCGGUUUCAGACCCUCUGUUCUCCUCCGGGGGUGCCUGGACCCUGAUUGUAACAUCUCUCUUCCAGUCUCUGUCCCAGCCUCUGACACAGAUGUAUGCUGCAGCCAGCCCAGCUCCCAGAGCAGUGGGGACAGAUGAUCUCAUCCUGUCAAACCAAGCAACAUGGGUCCCAUUGAGGCUUAGAUGGAAGAUCCCAUGGAGAGGAUGUGUUCGGGAUCCUGUUGCUGCAGGAGGUUUGAGCAGGGAGAGAUCACUCCCUGUCAUGACCCCUGGGUCAUUAACCCAGGUCUGCAGGAUUCAUGGGAACAGCAACACUCCAGCAGGCCACCUGGAAGCCUACUAAAAACUGCCUACCUAGGACUUACAAAGUCCAGACCCAGUUUGAGGCUCCAUCCCGGAGGCCUAUUGGCAGAGUCCCAGAGCAGCUAAUCGGCCCCCGGAACCUCCUUAAACCAACAGCAGGAACAAGAAGCUGUCUGAACACCCGAGCUGCCCUGUCUUCUGGACCAUGUGUUAGCUGCUCCUGCUCCCACUCCCCAGGCUUGAUUUCCUGGCAUCCUGACUCGCUGUGACUCAUCUGAUCAGAGGGUCUGAACACAAUUUGGUCCUUUGCUUCUGCUCUUCCAGGGUCCUGAUCCAGCUGACUCUCGACUCCUGUCUUCUGAGUGUGAACUCUGCAUCUGACCACUAGGUCUGGUUGCCUAGGACCCGGCCAUGACACUGACUUUUCUACGAUUCCUCCAAUGCCCUUUUCUGUUCUCCAGCUCUGCUCUCCCAGCAAGACACACCAAUCCCCUGGCUCCCAGAGUCGUGGUUGCUGCUAUUCAAGGGCUUGGGGUAGUUCUUGUAUUGCUCCCUCCAUCACCACAGCUGCUUUUCCUACGGGAAUCUCCCUAGUGCAGAGGAGAAAUCUGCUCUUUCUCUUAGAAUCAGCCCUGGCAGCAAUUCAGGAAGUCAUAGAAGGGACGGUCUGCUAAACUCCCUCUGCAAUGCCACUGUCAGAGACCAUUAUUGUUGGGUGCCAUGUGAGUGCGCAGGCAGCUCCUUGAGAGACUCCUAGGGGCAGGGUAGUUGUGUUUGAUGGUGACCUCUGAACACCAUGCAGAGAGUGCAGCAUUGACGAGACUCUCCUGCUGUAACAAAGGGUUUCUGUUCUCCUACCUAGUCAGCCAGUGAGGCCAGUGUGCAGCAUGUGGAAGAGCUGUUUGGUGAUGAGCUGGAGGAUUGACCAUAUAGGUGGCAGCAGCUGCAGAUGCUGGAGUCCCUAUGGUAGGGUUACCAUGCGUCAGGAUUUUCUCGGACAUGUCCAGAUUUUUGGUUUUUAAAUAGCCGUCCGGGAGGAAUUUGUAAAACUCUCAAAGCUCCAGGAUUACCCUCCCAGUGCAGAGCGCGAUGCGGCUGACACGGAGCCCAGGCUGGAUUGAGCCGCUCGCAUCCGGGCCUCCAGCAGCCAGGGCCCCUCCCCUGCUCCCCUCUCCCCUGCAGCCUCAGCGCACCGCACCAGCAGCGCUCUGGGGGGCGAGGCUGCAUGCUCCGUGGGGGAGCACAGCACUGUGUCUGGCUCCGCACACCGCUCUGAGCAGCAUG